GGUAGUCCACGCCGUAAACGAUGUCGACUUGGAGGUUGUGCCCUUGAGGCGUGGCUUCCGGAGCUAACGCGUUAAGUCGACCGCCUGGGGAGUACGGCCGCAAGGUUAAAACUCAAAUGAAUUGACGGGGGCCCGCACAAGCGGUGGAGCAUGUGGUUUAAUUCGAUGCAACGCGAAGAACCUUACCUACUCUUGACAUCCAGAGAACUUAGCAGAGAUGCUUUGGUGCCUUCGGGAACUCUGAGACAGGUGCUGCAUGGCUGUCGUCAGCUCGUGUUGUGAAAUGUUGGGUUAAGUCCCGCAACGAGCGCAACCCUUAUCCUUUGUUGCCAGCGGUUAGGCCGGGAACUCAAAGGAGACUGCCAGUGAUAAACUGGAGGAAGGUGGGGAUGACGUCAAGUCAUCAUGGCCCUUACGAGUAGGGCUACACACGUGCUACAAUGGCGCAUACAAAGAGAAGCGACCUCGCGAGAGCAAGCGGACCUCAUAAAGUGCGUCGCAGUCCGGAUUGGAGUCUGCAACUCGACUCCAUGAAGUCGGAAUCGCUAGUAAUCGUAGAUCAGAAUGCUACGGUGAAUACGUUCCCGGGCCUUGUACACACCGCCCGUCACACCAUGGGAGUGGGUUGCAAAAGAAGUAGGUAGCUUAACCUUCGGGAGGGCGCUUACCACUUUGUGAUUCAUGACUGGGGUGAAGUCGUAACAAGGUAACCGUAGGGGAACCUGC
rnacentral:rRNA from 1 species